UACAGAGGAGGCGAGCGUUGUUCGGAAUCACUGGGCUUAAAGGGCGCGUAGGCGGCUCGGAAAGUGUUCUGUGAAAGCCCCCGGCUCAACCGGGGAACGGCAGGGCAAACUCCCGGGCUUGAGGUCGGUAGAGGUGCCUAGAAUUCCACGUGUAGCAGUGAAAUGCGUAGAUAUGUGGAGGAAUACCGAUGGCGAAGGCAGCCCCCUGGGUCGACACUGACGCUCAUGCACGAAAGCGUGGGGAGCAAAC
rnacentral:rRNA from 1 species